AUUAUGAUUACAAUCAUUUGAAACAUGGAUAGAAGUGUAACCAAGCACCAGAAACGCCUGUAGAAAAUCAAAGAUAGUUUUGUUAUGAAGUGGCCCUGUGGAUAGGGCAUUUCCUUUUUCAAAAUGCUUCUUGUUUCAUACAUCUCCUUUUGGGGAAAGUAUUGCUACUAUUCAUAGUGAACUGGCUAGACAAACCACUGCACGUGCAUGCAAAGACACACACAAAGACACACCCACACACAGUUCAAUUCAAUCGAAUGGUAGGUGUUUCCCCUACGUGUCUCCAGACAAUUCGUACUUUUACACACAUUUGAAAGUUUUAACAUUAUUUUUUGGUCCACAAGAGGUUUUUUUUUUUUUUUUUCCUUUUGAACACAAGUAGCCUGGCAGCAAAUAUCUAAAAAUUAUGCAACAGACAUAGUUUUUAUUCCAUGUGUGGAGCAUCUGCCAGAAACUCCAGAGCAGGAGGAGGGGUGAUGCUUUGUGUUUCAUCUCAAGAAGCAGGAGCCGCCUUCCAGUUUUGGGUAACCCCUGGCCCAGCAUGGUGGUGGGGAUGAAAAGCUGGGGAGGUGAAGCUCUAGCACUGACCAGAGCAAGGAAAGGGAAAAAUUCACAUACGAAAUCUUUUGAAAAUGCUGUUGUUGAAAAUAUUACUAUUGUUUUGUAUUCCACUAUGUGAUCCUAGGUUAUGAGUAAAACAAUGGAUAACUCAUGGCCCCCAACUCCCAUGAAUUAGUGAAAAACGUUGAUAUCUUUUUCAACCUAAAAUUCAAGAUGCA
rnacentral:lncRNA from 1 species